rnacentral:rRNA from 1 species
UGGCGAAGGCGACUCUCUGGUCUGUAACUGACGCUGAGGAGCGAAAGCGUGGGGAGCGAACAGGAUUAGAUACCCUGGUAGUCCACGCCGUAAACGAUGAGUGCUAAGUGUUAGGGGGUUUCCGCCCCUUAGUGCUGCAGCUAACGCAUUAAGCACUCCGCCUGGGGAGUACGGUCGCAAGACUGAAACUCAAAGGAAUUGACGGGGGCCCGCACAAGCGGUGGAGCAUGUGGUUUAAUUCGAAGCAACGCGAAGAACCUUACCAGGUCUUGACAUCCUCUGACAAUCCUAGAGAUAGGACGUCCCCUUCGGGGGCAGAGUGACAGGUGGUGCAUGGUUGUCGUCAGCUCGUGUCGUGAGAUGUUGGGUUAAGUCCCGCAACGAGCGCAACCCUUGAUCUUAGUUGCCAGCAUUCAGUUGGGCACUCUAAGGUGACUGCCGGUGACAAACCGGAGGAAGGUGGGGAUGACGUCAAAUCAUCAUGCCCCUUAUGACCUGGGCUACACACGUGCUACAAUGGACAGAACAAAGGGCAGCGAAACCGCGAGGUUAAGCCAAUCCCACAAAUCUGUUCUCAGUUCGGAUCGCAGUCUGCAACUCGACUGCGUGAAGCUGGAAUCGCUAGUAAUCGCGGAUCAGCAUGCCGCGGUGAUACGUUCCCGGGCCUUGUACACACCGCCCGUCACACCACGAGAGUUUGUAACACCCGAAGUCGGUGAGGUAACCUUUUGG